rnacentral:rRNA from 1 species
UACGAGGGGGGCGAGCGUUGUUCGGAAUUAUUGGGCGUAAAGGGUGCGUAGGCGGUUUGGUAAGUCUUAUGUGAAAUCUACAGGCUCAACUUGUAGUCUGCAUGAGAAACUGCCGGGCUUGAGUAUGGGAGAGGUGAGUGGAAUUCCUGGUGUAGCGGUGAAAUGCGUAGAUAUCAGGAGGAACACCUGUGGCGAAAGCGGCUCACUGGACCAUAACUGACGCUGAGGCACGAAAGCGUGGGUAGCAAACAGG